AAAUUGAAGAGUUUGAUCAUGGCUCAGAUUGAACGCUGGCGGCAGGCCUAACACAUGCAAGUCGGACGGUAGCACAGAGAGCUUGCUCUCGGGUGACGAGUGGCGGACGGGUGAGUAAUGUCUGGGAAACUGCCCGAUGGAGGGGGAUAACUACUGGAAACGGUAGC
rnacentral:rRNA from 1 species